UGAGGUUCCCGGCAAAUGUUGGAUAGAUAGGUAACUUCUCACAUUUGCCUGGACCUUUUU
rnacentral:pre_miRNA from 1 species